rnacentral:rRNA from 1 species
UGGGGAAUAUUGCACAAUGGGCGCAAGCCUGAUGCAGCCAUGCCGCGUGUAUGAAGAAGGCCUUCGGGUUGUAAAGUACUUUCAGCGAGGAGGAAGGCGUUGUGGUUAAUAACCGCAACGAUUGACGUUACUCGCAGAAGAAGCACCGGCUAACUCCGUGCCAGCAGCCGCGGUAAUACGGAGGGUGCAAGCGUUAAUCGGAAUUACUGGGCGUAAAGCGCACGCAGGCGGUCUGUCAAGUCGGAUGUGAAAUCCCCGGGCUCAACCUGGGAACUGCAUCCGAAACUGGCAGGCUAGAGUCUUGUAGAGGGGGGUAGAAUUCCAGGUGUAGCGGUGAAAUGCGUAGAGAUCUGGAGGAAUACCGGUGGCGAAGGCG